CAGGCCUGAUUUUUAUUAGCUCAUUUAAUUUGACUUAAAAGGUUGCUAUAGUUGUGCUAUCUUGCUUUUUAUCUGGGGCAGGGGAUGGAGUUAGAUUCUGUCUUGGGACUUUUUCAAGUUUUCAGUUUACUUUUCUUCCCAGAGUGACUAAGGGUUUAGCCACUUGCAAAGAAAGUGGAGGAAGGGGUUUUUGCUUUACUUGAUCAAGGUCUCUGAGGACUGGAGUCUCCAUUACUCAUCCCUCCUAUCUGGCAACAGGAAUAUUUGGGUCCGCAGUAGGCUGGAUCAACAGGGAAGUCAAUGCAUGGCAGCUGAGUGAGAAGCUGCUGGAAGCAAAACCGGGAACAUAGUAACUUAGGGAAGGGAGUGAGGGUAAAUGAGGAAAGCAAAGAAUUAGUAUUUCUUUUACCAACCAAGUUACCAGUAACUUGAAGGAGCAAAAUGCACUCACACCUUGGGUCCCAGCCUCACAUUUCCCAUGCAUUUGGGCAAACCUCCAUGAACCUUAUUUGUGAAAUGGGAACAUGUUACCAGCGUAAAGUAUCCCAUGGAAGGUACCGGGUGGUGAAUCCGUAUGGGUCUGCAACAACCUCAAUUCUUGCCUCUUCAGGAGAAAGAAUUUGACAGAGGGGCAUAAGGCAGAAAAGGAGCCCAAGGCAAGUUUCAGAGCAGGAGUAAAAGUUUCUUUAAAUGCUUUAGAACAGGAAAGAAAGGAAAGGAAAGUACACUUGGAAGAGACCCAAGUGGGCACCGAGGACAAGUGCGAUGAUCCUAGGACUUUAUAGGCUGGCCCUUUUCCCAUGAUUCUUCCCUUGGGGUGGGCUGCCCGCACCCACCGCGCCUUCCUUACCCUCCGGAGGUGAGCAUGCGCAAUGUGUUUAGGAAGUGGUGCACAUGCCCAUCAUCGCUUUUCCAGCAGAGUGCCCCGAAGGUCCGAAGGUCAGACUCUGCCAUUUUGUCUCUUUUCUUUUCUUUCUUUCUUUUCUUUUUUUCUUUUUUUUGAGACGGAGUCUCGCUCUGUCACCCUGGUUGGAGGGCAGUGGCGCGAUCUCUGCUCACUGCAACCUCCACCUUCUGGGUUCAAGCGAUUCUUCUGCCUCAGUCUCCCCCGGCACCUGCAUUCAAUUAACACUUUGGUGCAAAAGGUGUGGAUCAUCAGGAAAUGAUCUCUGUCUCUGGUGUUGGCUGCGAGUUUAUAAAUUUUAGAGAGGGAAUGUGAUCAUUACCAAACCAUCACCCAACAUUCCUAGUGGAUGGUGGGAGAGCCCUCUCCUGCGCGGCUUGUGCCUGUCUAACUGCCUGUAACAAAGUCAUUCAAUUAAAAUUUAGUUACCCUCUGUAAUGUGCCACACACUGCCCCAGGCACUUGGAGAAUAUCAGUGAAGGAUAAUUCCCCUUCUUCAGGAUGUUUUGAGGAAUAAAUGAGGUAGUGCAUGUAGAAUUACCUGGUGAUGAUCUGUAAAAGGUGCUGAAUUGGAGGUAACUGCCAUGAUGAUGGUGGUUCUCAUACAUAUAAAACAAUGAUAUGAGGGUGGUAGUGGACUGAUGGUUGAUGGUCUCACUUGUCAUCUUGGCUGUGAGCUCUCUGAAGCAAGCUGGGGACCAUUUUGGAGUCCUGGUAAGUAAGCAGUCACUAGGAAGGGGCCCCAGGUAGGGCAGGGCCCCACGUGGGGAAGAAAACUAAUGUUCACAAGAGGGAGUCUCCAGAGCUCCUCCAGUGGUCCCCACCGUGUACAGGAGAGGGAUUAGGCACAGUGAUGGGAAGGGGCAAGUGCCCAGAGCCACUCACCAAGAAGAGACAGAGCUGUGGCUGGGCCAAGCUGACGGACGGAUGCAGGAGGCUGGUCAGUGCCCUCAAGGAAUAUCUAGUGUAAUGUGGGAGAUAAGCCACUCACAAGUGAAACACUUAAAUCCACUGUGGCUGAUUAAAUGCCAAGUGCUGGCAGAGUCCCAAGUGCGGAAAGAAGAACAGGUAUAAGGGAGGAGUCUGCAUGGAAAUGCUGAAAUCUCAG
rnacentral:lncRNA from 10 species